rnacentral:lncRNA from 1 species
UUAUCUUGACUUAGAUGUAACACUCUCGUUUUUUAUCGUGGGAUUCUUGACUCUGACAUGGAGUUCUUGAUCCUUUUUGUGUACGUGUAGUAUAUGUAUUUUUGAAGAACUCAUUCAACACUGUUUGAAGUGUUUAUGCUUGAUAUGAGUAAUACAACUAACUGAGUUGAGCUGGUAAAUAAUGUCAGGUCAAAUUGACUAAUCUUCAAGUAUGAGUAAUUUCCCUAGUUUUGAGUUUUGAGAUAUGAGAACUCAAACAUUGGAAUCAUAAUUUGACAGUUCGCGGUCUAAUAGUCCCCAGUAGGUUAGUUAGUUUCGAUAUUGAUGGACUUUCAAAUGGUCUAGUUCCAACAUAGGGACGGUACCGAAGCUCUUUUUAUCAAAUAUUUUGUACUCUGGCUGGGAACUACGGAGGUUCCAAAUGUUGUCGAGGAUCAUGCCAUAUCUUGAUUUGAGCUAUUUAUAGUGACUUUGAUGCGUUUUUUAUUUGAAACCUUAUUACCGGAGUAAUUUUCACUGCUUUCUUUAUAAAUUUCUCGCAUCAUAUAUUUUGUUUGUUUGGUCCAUGUGGCAUUUUAGCUUUUGGAGCCUUGAAUAUUCUCAAAUAUAAUUCUCUUCUAACAAGGCAGGUAGUACGGGAUGAGACGCACUCAGAGUUAUCGAGAGCAUGCUUAUCUUUGGGUAAAGUCCCAUUCUGCAAGUAAUAAAUGAAUUUAUUAUGCCAAUUCCAAAUUAAAUUAGUCAGGCUUACCUCAUUUUCAUUCUAAUUGAUGAUAGAUCAGGAAUCGCCUAAAUAAGAGAUGGCUUGAUCCCGAGACUGUUUGAUCCGGAAAUGAUAUUUCUCAAUAAGUGCCCGGAGUUGCUUUCUAAGCCAGUGAUAUCAGCAGUAGAUCUGAGACUAACACAUCCGGCUCGAUUUUCUUGGGCUGCAUAGUUUUCUUGGAUUUGAUCAAUCGUUAAAUCAAUAUUUUUGCUCUGAGUCCCCAAGCUAAUUUAAGCCCUGUAGCAUAUGCUUCAUACUCGGCUUUGUU